UACGGGGGGGGCAAGCGUUGUUCGGAAUUACUGGGCGUAAAGGGCUCGUAGGCGGCCAACUAAGUCAUACGUGAAAUCCCUCGGCUUAACCGGGGAACUGCGUCUGAUACUGGAUGGCUUGAGUUCGGGAGAGGGAUGCGGAAUUCCAGGUGUAGCGGUGAAAUGCGUAGAUAUCUGGAGGAACACCGGUGGCGAAGGCGGUUCUCUGGGCCUUACCUGACGCUGAGGAGCGAAAGCGUGGGGAGCAAACAGG
rnacentral:rRNA from 1 species